GAUCUCCGUGCACAAAAAGAAGACAAAAGGAGGGAUGAUCAUGGAAAGAGAGAGAAGGGGGCAAAGUGGUUGGAUUCCCUGUCGAUGAAUUUGGUUGGGUCACCCGCCAAUUUAUGACUGUUGUAAUUAGGGAAAAGGUAGAAAGCAUGAAGUUUCAAUCUUUUUUAGUCAGUGAUGCUUGUCAACUAUUUAUAAAAAUGUCUGAACCAAAAACCUACUAGACCAUGGAGUGUGUUUCAUGGCUAUGUUUUGUAAUUUUUAAUAUGAUGGAUUGUUUUAGCUAA